UCUUGUUUCAUUGUUUAAGCGAUUAAAUCUCUCGAGUAGACGCUGUCUCUUUAGAUGCGAGGGCAAAAUAGCACUUUAUGGACUUCCACAGAGGACAUCAUGUUUAAUACGGUUCCGGAAAAAUCCAGUCAGAAGUUGUUCACGGAGUUUUCACAAUAACUGCUUCUCAUGAACCGAAGCUGGAUUUGCGCGACGUCUCCUCUUGAAAGUUGGAUUACUGUGCACUUCUGGAUCACAGACUAUUCGCAGCUGUACAUAUCCUUCUACACUGUAUGCAAACAUGCAACAUCAUUACACACAGUACAAGGAGUCAGACUGGCAUAUGAGGAGCAAAGGAACCCAGGCAGUAGCAUCGUUUCACAAUGUUUCCAUCACCAUCAUCAGUGGAUGCCUUUGCCGUCCGUAGCCUGAGAUUUCAGAUUUGCAGCAAAAAAAAAAAUGAUUUUCUCAUUUAUUGGAAUGCUGUGCAGGUAUUUGUACCUUGCAGCCAUCCAUUACAAUGUCACCAAGCCGUAACAAAAGCAGGAGAGGGAAAGUACAAGGCUAUGUUCCCAAAACACAAAUGACAUACCUUAUGUGGAGGAUGUGAUCAGGCUUGUGUUUGAUGAGGUAUUUGAAGAUAAGCUGAAGGAAACCCCGAUUCCAAUGGACCUGGCAUCACAGUUUGAGAGACCUUCAAAGGAGGACGUGAUUGCAUGCCAUCUUC